AGCGGCGGACGGGUGAGUAACACGUGGGUAACCUGCCCAAGAGAUCGGGAUAACACCUGGAAACAGAUGCUAAUACCGGAUAACAACAGAUGAUGCCUAUCAACUGUUUAAAAGAUGGUUCUGCUAUCACUCUUGGAUGGACCUGCGGUGCAUUAGCUAGUUGGUAGGGUAACGGCCUACCAAGGCGAUGAUGCAUAGCCGAGUUGAGAGACUGAUCGGCCACAUUGGGACUGAGACACGGCCCAAAGUCCUACGGGAGGCAGCAGUAGGGAAUCUUCCACAAUGGACGCGAGUCUGAUGGAGCAACGCCGCGUGAGUGAAGAAGGGCUUCGGCUCGUAAAGCUCUGUUGUUGGUGAAGAAGGACAGGGGUAGUAACUGACCUUUGUUUGACGGUAAUCAAUUAGAAAGUCACGGCUAACUACGUGCCAGCAGCCGCGGUAAUACGUAGGUGGCAAGCGUUGUCCGGAUUUAUUGGGCGUAAAGCGAGUGCAGGCGGCUCGAUAAGUCUGAUGUGAAAGCCUUCGGCUCAACCGGAGAAUUGCAUCAGAAACUGUCGAGCUUGAGUACAGAAGAGGAGAGUGGAACUCCAUGUGUAGCGGUGAAAUGCGUAGAUAUAUGGAAGAACACCGGUGGCGAAGGCGGCUCUCUGGUCUGUUACUGACGCUGAGGCUCGAAAGCAUGGGUAGCGAACAGGAUUAGAUACCCUGGUAGUCCAUGCCGUAAACGAUGAGUGCUAAGUGUUGGGAGGUUUCCGCCUCUCAGUGCUGCAGCUAACGCAUUAAGCACUCCGC
rnacentral:rRNA from 1 species